rnacentral:rRNA from 1 species
UACGUAGGGACCAAGCGUUGUUCGGAUUUACUGGGCGUAAAGGGCGCGUAGGCGGCAAUUCAAGUCAGCUGUGAAAUCUCCGGGCUUAACUCGGAACGGUCAGCUGAUACUGCUUUGCUAGAGUGCAGAAGGGGCAAUCGGAAUUCUUGGUGUAGCGGUGAAAUGCGUAGAUAUCAAGAGGAACACCUGAGGUGAAGACGGGUUGCUGGGCUGACACUGACGCUGGAGGCGCGAAAGCCUAGGGUAGCAAACGGG